UACGUAGGGGGCAAGCGUUGUCCGGAAUCAUUGGGCGUAAAGAGCGUGUAGGCGGCCCGAUAAGUCCGCCGUGAAAGUCCAGGGCUCAACCCUGGAAUGCCGGUGGAAACUGUCGGGCUGGAGUCCGGAAGAGGCGAGUGGAAUUCCUGGUGUAGCGGUGAAAUGCGCAGAUAUCAGGAAGAACACCCGUGGCGAAAGCGGCUCUCUGGAACGGUGCUGACGCUGAGACGCGAAAGCGUGGGGAGCGAACAGG
rnacentral:rRNA from 1 species